rnacentral:rRNA from 1 species
AUUGAACGCUGGCGGCAGGCCUAACACAUGCAAGUCGAACGGUAACAGGAAACAGCUUGCUGUUUCGCUGACGAGUGGCGGACGGGUGAGUAAUGUCUGGGAAACUGCCUGAUGGAGGGGGAUAACUACUGGAAACGGUAGCUAAUACCGCAUAACGUCGCAAGACCAAAGAGGGGGACCUUCGGGCCUCUUGCCAUCGGAUGUGCCCAGAUGGGAUUAGCUAGUAGGUGGGGUAACGGCUCACCUAGGCGACGAUCCCUAGCUGGUCUGAGAGGAUGACCAGCCACACUGGAACUGAGACACGGUCCAGACUCCUACGGGAGGCAGCAGUGGGGAAUAUUGCACAAUGGGCGCAAGCCUGAUGCAGCCAUGCCGCGUGUAUGAAGAAGGCCUUCGGGUCGUAAAGUACUUUCAGCGGGGAUGAAGGGAGUAAAGUUAAUACCUUUGCUCAUUGACGUUACCCGCAGAAGAAGCACCGGCUAACUCCGUG